rnacentral:rRNA from 1 species
UAGCUAGUUGGUGAGGUAAAGGCUUACCAAGGCGACGAUCUGUAGCGGGUCUGAGAGGAUGAUCCGCCACACUGGAACUGAGACACGGUCCAGACUCCUACGGGAGGCAGCAGUGGGGAAUUUUGGACAAUGGGGGCAACCCUGAUCCAGCCAUGCCGCGUGAGUGAAGAAGGCCUUCGGGUUGUAAAGCUCUUUCGGCCGGGAAGAAAUCGCAUGGGCCAAUUCCCUGUGUGGAUGACGGUACCGGAAUAAGAAGCACCGGCUAACUACGUGCCAGCAGCCGCGGUAAUACGUAGGGUGCGAGCGUUAAUCGGAAUUACUGGGCGUAAAGCGUGCGCAGGCGGUUUUGUAAGACAGGCGUGAAAUCCCCGGGCUUAACCUGGGAACUGCGUUUGUGACUGCAAGGCUAGAGUACGGCAGAGGGGGGUGGAAUUCCACGUGUAGCAGUGAAAUGCGUAGAGAUGUGGAGGAACACCAAUGGCGAAGGCAGCCCCCUGGGUCGAUACUGACGCUCAUGCACGAAAGCGUGGGUAGCAAACAGGAUUAGAUACCCUGGUAGUCCACGCCCUAAACUAUGUCAACUAGGUGUUGGGUGGGUAAAACCAUUUAGUACCGUAGCUAACGCGUGAAGUUGACCGCCUGGGGAGUACGGCCGCAAGGUUAAAACUCAAAGGAAUUGACGGGGACCCGCACAAGCGGUGGAUGAUGUGGAUUAAUUCGAUGCAACGCGAAAAACCUUACCUACCCUUGACAUGCCAGGAACUUGCCAGAGAUGGCUUGGUGCCCGAAAGGGAGCCUGGACACAGGUGCUGCAUGGCUGUCGUCAGCUCGUGUCGUGAGAUGUUGGGUUAAGUCCCGCAACGAGCGCAACCCUUGUCGUUAAUUGCCAUCAUUUGGUUGGGCACUUUAACGAGACUGCCGGUGACAAACCGGAGGAAGGUGGGGAUGACGUCAAGUCCUCAUGGCCCUUAUGGGUAGGGCUUCACACGUCAUACAAUGGUCGGUACAAAGGGUUGCCAAGCCGCGAGGCGGAGCCAAUCCCAGAAAGCCGAUCGUAGUCCGGAUUGCAGGCUGCAACUCGCCUGCAUGAAGUCGGAAUCGCUAGUAAUCGUGGAUCAGCAUGUCACGGUGAAUACGUUCCCGGGUCUUGUACACACCGCCCGUCACACCAUGGGAGCGGGUUCCGCCAGAAGUAGGUAGCCUAACCGCAAGGGGGGCGCUUACCACGGCGGGGUUCGUGACUGGGGUGAAGUCGUAACAAGGUAGCCGUAGGGGAACCUGCGGCUG